rnacentral:misc_RNA from 1 species
CUGCUCUCCUGCAGCAUCAGGCAGCAUGACAACCCAGCGAUGGAUUCUUGUAUUCAUCUUUUCACUGGCCUCAGGUAUUUCAACCGCAAAAUUAUGGAAAUCAAUAUUAUAUAAAAAAAAAAAAAAAAAAAAA